rnacentral:rRNA from 1 species
ACUCCUACGGGAGGCAGCAGUGGGGAAUUUUGGACAAUGGGCGCAAGCCUGAUCCAGCAAUGCCGCGUGAGUGAAGAAGGCCUUCGGGUUGUAAAGCUCUUUUGUCAGGGAAGAAACGGCUGAGGUUAAUACCUUUGGCUAAUGACGGUACCUGAAGAAUAAGCACCGGCUAACUACGUGCCAGCAGCCGCGGUAAU